GUCUUCAGCUAGCUGGUGAAAGAUUUUGUGUAUCGGUAUUUCUUUUGCAAGUGUUCGACGAAAACAGAGUUUGCUGUUUCAUUGGAUUGACAGAGCAUAGUUGCAACAUGCCACGGAAAAAGUACUGGAGAAAAACAAGAUUCCAUAAGGAGACAAAAGGGGAUGGAAACGUGUCAAAAAAUAAUGACAGUGACGAGUCUGGGACUGUUGUUUUUACAGAGAUAAGUACAGUUUCUGGACAUUUUCAUCAAGGACAUCCACAAUUUAUGCCAAACAGUGGGGCACAGUGUGUGGCUAAUAGUUGCUCAGCUAUUCUGUAUGAUAAAGUAAAGCCAGUUUCUAUGUGGACUAGUAAUGAUCUUGAUGCUGUAUUGAUUUCUGGUGAUGAAUUGUACUCUAAUGUUAAACCUAAUCUUCCUGCUGGUGAGACCUUUUUGCUCAUUUCAGACAUUCCAGAUGUGAUGGACAUGCACAAUGGUACAUUCGGUAUAAGGGCAGGAAUGUAGAAGGUGUACAAGUUGUUGAUGGGACUGCUGUAAGCAUCAGAUACACAGGUCUAGAAGGGGUGUUUCAACACUGUACUCGUCUGGCUAUUUCACUCAACACUGCAGCUUGUGAAAGAACCAACCACGGAAAACGGGACACUGAUUGAUCAUGUUUAUGUCAGACAUGUCCAUUUGAAAACAGUCAAAGUCAUUCCGACUUAUUUUAGCUACCACGAUGCCAUUAUGUCCACAUUAUAAGAAAAACAGGAGCUUUGGUCUUGGAAAUCUUAGUAACUGUUGGCACUGGAGCUUGUGGGAGAAAAAAAACUUCUGAUAACUACAACUGCAACUUCCUGUGAAGUGAAAUACCAGAAAUUCAGUGCUUAUCGAUGCAGCUCAAAUUGUAUCCCAGUUGUCUUCUAGUUAAUAGCCAACCUAUUUAAAACGUUGGAUAGAAAAAACAGGCACUUCAGUGAUCAAUUUCUGAGGAUCUUGGUGGCGAGAUGGACGACUAUGGCAGAAACGUGCUGUUAGGACAUCAUUUGUUGGAGACCUCCGGCAGUCCACCGCAGUAUAAUAUAAGUGCUCUCCUCCUCUCACCAAUACCACUCCGCGUUUAUCUUCGGAUAGACACUGGCGGCUCAGGACCUUAUGGAAUGGACCAGUAUAUCCCGCAAAAAUGGAACAAAAUGGCAGCAAAGAACUCAAAAGUCAUAUAUGCCAUCUUAAGUCAGUAUCACUAUGGAUGAUGGAGAGCAACAUAUCCAUCUAAACAAAUGUUGCCCCUAGAACACUAAUACUGCGAAGAACUUGCGCAUGUGGUUUCUUUUUAUGACAACUUGACAAGUCUGUCUUAUAUAGUUAAAUCUGCUGAGAAGGAUGAUAAGAUGUUAGGUGUGCUGAGAGGCAUGAUUCGUAUGGCAAAUCAAGAAAAUUGCCAAAUGACAGAAGCUAUCGGCUGGCUGGAAAGUUGAAGAUAAAACAUCUAGAUUGAAUUAAAUGAUGGCCUUUAACAGCAACAUGUAACAAACCCUGUAUGAUGGUAACAUUUAUUGGUGGUAACAUCUGAAUGACCUGUCUUGUAGAUACUUCAGUAACUGUACCGUAACACCAUCAUGUGAAACUGAAACUGUAAUUCAAAAUUGAGGUGAUAUAUAUUCGCCUUACAUACCUCAAAUCGCUGUGAGUUCAACUCCACCGCAUGCUAUCUUCCUCUCUGGCUGUAAGUGGAAAGGUCUCAGCAACCUGCAGAAGGUCGUGGGUUUCCCUAGAGCCCGGUUUCAUCCCACCAUAUUGCUGGCUGCUGUCGUAUAAGUGAAAUAUUCUUAGCACGGCGUAAACACCAAUCAAAUAAGUAAAUAAAGACAUACCCCAAUGUAUGGACAUAUCUGAUUUUUGUAAAUACAAUUACAGGGCUGGAAAAAUGUGGAUUUUUUUUAGUCGCUCUGGCAGGCAACCAAGACGUUCAACUGUGGUUGGCCCCUUUCACCUUGGUUGCCGCCCACUUUUUAUGUCAUUUUGGUAUGUGAUCAUUUAAAGUACAAUACAAUAAAAUACAAUGACAUAAAUAAUAUCUGAUAAAAGUGAUUUUCUGAUUGGUGCUGAAAUCAUUAAUACUGAGAAAUGGUUAAAUACGUUUUGAUCCAUCAGUUAUGUUGCCUUUGAAUACCCUUUUGAAAAGUAUGGAAUGGAAUUUUUAGGCAGCCAUAUGCAUUUUCAUUGAUGUACGGUUCGGAUGACAGUCCAAUUACAUUUUUGUGAACAGAAUUUUUUGGACAUGUAUUUUUUGACCAAAUUCAAAGCACGGUCGAUUCAUGAAUGAAAUGUA